rnacentral:rRNA from 1 species
GGCGAGUGAAGCGGGAUGAGCUCAAAUUUGAAAUCUGGCGGUCUACGGCCGUCCGAGUUGUAAUCUAUAGAGGUGUUUUCCGUGCCGGACCGUGUACAAGUCCCUUGGAACAGGGCGUCAUAGAGGGUGAGAAUCCCGUCCAUGACACGGACUCCCGGUGCUCUGUGAUACACCUUCAAAGAGUCGAGUUGUUUGGGAAUGCAGCUCAAAAUGGGUGGUAAAUUCCAUCUAAAGCUAAAUACAGGCGAGAGACCGAUAGCGAACAAGUACCGUGAGGGAAAGAUGAAAAGAACUUUGGAAAGAGAGUUAAACAGUACGUGAAAUUGUUGAAAGGGAAACGCUUGGAGUCAGUCGCGUUUGCCGGGACUCAGCCUUGCUUAUGCUUGGUGCACUUCCCGGUGAAUGGGCCAGCAUCGAUUUUGGUCGCCGGAAAAGGGCGGGAGGAAUGUGGCAGCUUGCUGUGUUAUAGCCUCCCGUCGUACACGGUGUCUGGGAUCGAGGACUGCAGCACGCCUUUGGUCGGGGUUCGCCCACGCCACGUGCUUAGGAUGCUGGCGUAAUGGCUUUAAACGACCCGUCUUGAAACACGGACCAAGGAGUCUAACAUGCCUGCGAGUGUUUGGGUGUCAAACCCAGGCGCGUAAUGAAAGUGAAAAGUUGGGACUCUUUAGUGAGGCACCGACGCCCGAUCCUGACGUUCUCUGACGGAUUUGAGGCAGAGCAUGUAUGUUGGGACCCGAAAGAUGGUGAACUAUGCCUGAAUAGGGUGAAGCCAGAGGAAACUCUGGUGGAGGCUCGUAGCGAUUCUGACGUGCAAAUCGAUCGUCAAAUUUGGGUAUAGGGGCGAAAGACUAAUCGAACC